rnacentral:rRNA from 1 species
UACGAAGGGGGGCUAGCGUUGUUCGGAGUUACUGGGCGUAAAGGGCGCGUAGGCGGCGCACCAAGUCAGGCGUGAAAGCCCUGGGCUCAACCCGGGAAUUGCGCUUGAGACUGGUGUGCUUGAGUACGGGAGAGGAUAGUGGAAUUCCCAGUGUAGAGGUGAAAUUCGUAGAUAUUGGGAAGAACACCGGUGGCGAAGGCGGCUAUCUGGACCGUAACUGACGCUGAGGCGCGAAAAGCGUGGGGGAGCGAACAGG